rnacentral:rRNA from 1 species
UACAGAGGGUGCGAGCGUUGUUCGGAAUUAUUGGGCGUAAAGAGCUCGUAGGCGGUUUGUCGCGUCGACUGUGAAAACCUACAGCUUAACUGUGGGCUUGCAGUCGAUACGGGCAGACUUGAGUUCGGUAGGGGAGACUGGAAUUCCUGGUGUAGCGGUGAAAUGCGCAGAUAUCAGGAGGAACAUCGGUGGCGAAGGCGGGUCUCUGGGCCGUAACUGACGCUGAGGAGCGAAAGCGUGGGGAGCGAACAGG